GUGCUGUUUGAUCCUCUAAACUAAGGUGGGACAAAUCAGCAUGGUUAUCUGGCAUAUUUACAACUGAACAACUCGAUCGGCCGUAGCAUGAAAUUAUAGUUAAUUUGUGUCAAAUUUAUGUUAAGAUGCCAACUGCGAUCAGCUGAUCGAUGAAUGAUAUGCCCAUCUUGAUAUGGUGAAUAAUAAGGUGAUACAGUCGGGAGAAGAUGAUUCCAUUGAAACUUUGGAUUAAUGAAUUUAGAAGGAAACAUUAUUAACUAUACAGAAAAAUAAAUAAAUAAACAAAUAAUUAGACUUGAUCCUAGAUAACAUAAGUGUCCUUACAUCUUUCAUUAGAAAUACUUUAGUAUCUCCUAAUAUUGGAAAAGAAUACAGUACCUAAUAGCAGAGCAUGUGACUUUGUCAUUUGCAUUUAUUGUUGACACGUGUUGGUUUUUAAAAUUCAAAAAGACAUUAACAUGUCUUAAAGAGAGUAUAUAAUCUCAAUUUUGACACAACAUUCAAGACUGUGUUUACACACAUUAUUUUCUGAGUCAGGGGGAUUCCAUCAAUGUCAAAUAAGAACAGCCAGCAUCAUUUAUGUAAUGAGAAACAUUAUGUUUAGUGGGGUACGCAAAAUCUUAAUAAAUAGUGUGCUUACAACAAGACCAUUCAUUAGCAGCUGGUUUUUUUCUGAUGUAGCUAAAGUAAAUGCUGAAUUGUGUCACCAGUAUUUUGGGGGGUGGGGACUGCACUUUCUUGGGGUCCUGUAUUCCUUUCAACUUUUCUUUAACGCAUUCUUCAAUCAAUU
rnacentral:misc_RNA from 1 species